rnacentral:lncRNA from 1 species
GGAUAGUCGGAUCCCGACUCGAUCCGGUCCGAUCUCGUUGACGACCGCCUCGACGAUUUCCAGAGCGAAUCGGCAGCGGUUUUGUAAAGAGCCGCCGUAUUGAUCGGUCCGAUCGUUCACUUGAUCUUUCAUGAAUUGCUCGAUCAGGUAACCAUGAGCGCCGUGGAUCUCAACUCCGUCAAAACCUAUAUAUGUUUUACACAAAUUGUACAAUGGUUAAAAUUGACCUUACAAUGGUUCUUAUUAUAUAGAGGUAAUCAUCUUACCAGCUUCAAUUGCAUUUCUUGCAGCAACUCUGAAAUCAUUAACAACAAGCGGAAUCUCCUCUGUAGUUAGCUUCCUUGGAGGUGUAAAUUUUGCAACAUCAAUUCCAUUGCUUCGUAGUUGAGGAAAUAGUUCUUUGUCAGAAGAAGAUAUUGGCGCUUGCCCAUUUGGCUGAAAACCUGCUCAACCAAUGAAAAUCUAAGGGU